UGACGCAUUUCCGUCCUAUGUUUCAGCAUAAAUCUCGCAUUUUUUAAAUAUUAUAUAUUUUUUAAAAUAUUGAUUGUAUAUUUAUAACAUUAUUAUUUGUGUUAUAUUACCUUGGAAUAAGUUUUGAAAAAAUAAUUACCACAGCUGCGAGGGGGUUUCUAUUACAGCUGCUGAGAAAGUGACAGUAAAUUUGGCAUCUUCUCUCAUCUUUUUUUUUUUUUUUUUUUCCUCUUCUAGAAAGUAAUUCAAACGAAAGAGUGGAUUUUUUCUUUUGGUCUUGGAGCAAAUGGGACGUCAUCAGUGUCAGGGGCGGACUGGCCAUAGGGAGAACCGGGACUUUUCCUGGUGGGCUGGCCGUGAAACAGGCCGCUGUGUUAUGCCGAACGGGCCGCAACUGGCUGAAGAGUGCCGCAAAACAGCACCGCGACAUGCCGAAGGGGGCCGCGAUAUGCAGAAAAGGACAGCGACACCAACCUUUCUCCUGUCUGAUAUUCUGGCAAGCCAUGCCUCUCUGCAGGAACUAUGCCGCCAUUGUGUUCUUUGCCAACAAUCGUUUUGAAACAGGGAAUGAAACAGUACUUGUCUUUCCAGGAUGUUGCUUUUUGCAUUGGUCAGCUCAUCAGCUACUGGACUGUGGGGGCAGUUGGUAAGAUGCUUCCAUGUGGGAAAUUCUGUCAUAAUUUUCUCGCUGUCAUGUUGUGGAACACAAAAGUAGAAUUCAGCAGAAUGUUGACUUUGCUCUUUUCCAUAAAAAAUAAAAAAAACACCCGUAAAAGUAGUUAAUAUGACUUGUGCGCUAUGUGAUAUCUUUCUGUGAGGAACUAACCAAAUUUUAUGUCAUUAAAACAAAUGCACUAUAAAAGCAUGACCUUUAAAGUAGUAUGCACAACACCAAAUAGUGUGUACUUCAAUAUUUUUAAAAUGUACCACUGCAUCCAAUACUUAUUAGUAUAUACAGUAAAGCCUACAACAACUAGUAUGCACUACAAAAUCAAGGACAUUCUUCAAAAACUAGUCUUAACUAAACCAGUUAAUAUGCUUUCCAAAAACAAAGAUACCCUACAAAAACAAGUGUGAACUAACUAGUAUGCACUAUAAAAUUAACCUGCAAUUAACCAGCUUGUUUUUACUUCAAAAACAAUUAUGCACUACAGCAUUAAACAUUGACAAAUAUGCACUACAACACUACUUGACUAAUAAUAGUAAAUUCUGUGGUAGGCCAUCAAACAGAUUGCCAUUGAUGAGUGGCAAUAUGUGCAAUAUGCACUCUUCAUUAGUGAUGUAUUGGAUUCCUAGUUUAGAUAGGAAUACAACUGAAAAAAAUAUGCAGACGGAUGCAGUAAUGUAUACGGUGUGAACAGCCCCUAAAAUGCUUAAAAUGAUAACCGCUUUAAUACAACAACCAGGAAGAACCAAAUUUCGAUCAAUCCUCUGAUUAGAAUACAAUUAAUCCUGCACUGGUUUCCAGUUAGUUUUAAUGAAUAAAAAGUCCUGUCUCUUCUGUCUCCCUCUCAUUUGUAAAUCAGUUACUAUCUCAGCUCUUUUCGUACAUUCUCCUACUCUCUCUUUUUACCAUGUCUUUUCAUAUGGAGGUAUUCUUGUGCUAUAGAUUGUGAUUCAACUUAAAAGAAAAUAAAUAAAAAACUUGGCCACAAAUCCACCUUACUUGCUCUUUUUUUAUGCUGUCAUUGAUAUAGUCUUUUUUACUAAUCAGGUAAUUAUCCCUUCACAAAGUGUGCAUGUGAUCAUUGUUUUCACACAGUAAAAACUGCUACCUGACUGCAUUUGAGUGGAUGUGUGCC